GUGCCAGCCGCCGCGGUAAUACCGGCAGCCCGAGUGAUGGCCGAUCUUAUUGGGCCUAAAGCGUCCGUAGCUGGCCGCACAAGUCCGUCGGGAAAUCCGCCCGCUCAACGGGCGGCCGUCCGGCGGAACCUGUGUGGCUUGGGACCGGGAGGCCUGAGGGGUACGAUCGGGGUAGGAGUGAAAUCCUAUAAUCCCGCACGGACCACCGAUGGCGAAAGCACUUCGAGAAAACGGAUCCGACAGUGAGGGACGAAAGCCAGGGUCUCCAACCGGAUUAGAUACCCGUGUAGUCC
rnacentral:rRNA from 1 species